rnacentral:RNase_P_RNA from 2 species
UGGGCAGGUUGGAUGGUCGCUCCGAAAGUAGCGUUUUUUAAAUGAAGCGUUUAUUUCGGGGAGGAAAGUCCGAGCUCCAAAGGGUAAGCGUAGCGGGUAAUGCCCGCCUGCCGCAAGGCAAGAAUUAGAGCCACAGCGACGAACAAUCCUAAACGAGGGCCUGACGGCCUAACGAUUAGGAAGAGGUGAAACGCGGCAAUCUUUACGCGGAGCAAGGCCAAAUAGGUCCGCUAUUUGGAGUGGCCCGCUUCAAUCCCGCCUAAGGCGGGUUGGCGGAUGGGUUGGCUGCUUAAGCCCUCGAGCAAUCGAAGGGAUUAGAUGGAUGGCCAUCUUCCCGUCAAGCACCACGAUUUUUGUGGAUGGCGGGGAACAGAACUCGGCUUACAGGCCUGCCCAAUUU